rnacentral:ncRNA from 1 species
CGGCCUGAGGUCGGACGAGGCUACCCGCUGAAUUUAAGCAUAUUACUAAGCGGAGGAAAAGAAACUAACGAGGAUUCCCUCAGUAACGGCGAGUGAAGCGGGACGAGCCCAGCGCCGAAUCCGGCCGCUUAUGGAGCGGACGGAAUUGUGGCGUAUGGAAUUCGCUUCGAGCGCGGACCGGCUGCCCACGUCCUUCUGAUCGAGGCUUCAUCCCAUAGCGGGUGUCAGGCCCUUGGCGGCGGCAGCCAAAGUUAGGUGAGUUUUAUUUACCACAGAAAACCGUAUCUCCACAACCGUGUCGGUAGGCUAUCAACUACCGUUUCGUAUCAACCGCACCCAUCGUUCCGUAUCCGA